UACGUAGGGUGCGAGCGUUAAUCGGAAUUACUGGGCGUAAAGCGUGCGCAGGCGGUUAUUUAAGUCAGGUGUGAAAGCCCUGGGCUUAACCUAGGAAUUGCGCUUGAGACUGGAUAGCUUGGAGUGCGGCAGAGGGAGGUGGAAUUCCACGUGUAGCAGUGAAAUGCGUAGAGAUGUGGAGGAACACCAGUGGCGAAGGCGGGUCUCUGGGCCGAUACUGACGCUGGAGGAGCGAAAGCGUGGGGAGCGAACAGG
rnacentral:rRNA from 1 species